rnacentral:rRNA from 1 species
CUCAAGAUGAACGCUGGCGGCGUGCUUAACACAUGCAAGUCGAGCGAAGCAUAUAAGCGGAAGUUUUCGGAUGGAAGCGUGUAUGACUGAGCGGCGGACGGGUGAGUAACGCGUGGGUAACCUGCCUCAUACAGGGGGAUAACAGUUAGAAAUGACUGCUAAUACCGCAUAAGCGCACAGGACCGCAUGGUCAAGUGUGAAAAACUCCGGUGGUAUGAGAUGGACCCGCGUCUGAUUAGCUGGUUGGUGAGGUAACGGCCCACCAAGGCGACGAUCAGUAGCCGACCUGAGAGGGUGGCCGGCCACAUUGGGACUGAGACACGGCCCAAACUCCUACGGGAGGCAGCAGUGGGGAAUAUUGCACAAUGGGGGAAACCCUGAUGCAGCAACGCCGCGUGAGUGAAGAAGUAUUUCGGUAUGUAAAGCUCUAUCAGCAGGGAAGAAGAAAGACGGUACCUGACUAAGAAGCCCCGGCUAACUACGUGCCAGCAGCCGCGGUAAUACGUAAGGGGCAAGCGUUAUCCGGAUUUACUGGGUGUAAAGGGAGCGUAGACGGCAUAGCAAGUCUGAAGUGAAAGCCCGUGGCUCAACCGCGGAACUGCUUUGGAAACUGUUAAGCUUGAGUACUGGAGAGGCAAGCGGAAUUCCUAGUGUAGCGGUGAAAUGCGUAGAUAUUANGAGGAACACCAGUGGCGAAAGC